rnacentral:rRNA from 1 species
CCUACGGGUGGCAGCAGUAGGGAAUUUUCGACAAUGGGGGGAACCCUGACCGAGCAACGCCGCGUGAACGAAGAAGUUAUUCGUAAUGUAAAGUUCUUUUAACAGGGAAGAAAGAGAAAUUUGACGGUACCUGAAGAAUAAGCUCCGGCUAACUACGUGCCAGCAGCCGCGGUAAUGCGUAGGGAGCGAGCGUUAUCCGGAAUUAUUGGGCGUAAGGGGUGGGUAGAUGGCAUAGUAAGUCUUUGGUAAAAGUGCGGGGCUCAACCCAGUAGGGCAACAGAUACUGCAAAGCUAGAGUAUGACAGAGGCAAGUGGAACUACAUGUGUAGCGGUAAAAUGCGUAAAUAUAUGGAAGAACACCAGUGGCGAAGGCGGCUUGCUGGAUCGAUACUGACAUUGAGGCACGAAAGCGUGGGGAGCAAACAGGAUUAGAUACCCUAGUAGUC